rnacentral:rRNA from 1 species
UUUUUGAUGACGACCGGCGCACGGGUGCGGAACGCGUAUGGAACCUGCCCCUGUCAGGGGAAUAGCCCAGGGAAACUUGGAUUAAUGCCCCAUGGUAUCGUUAUAUCGCAUGAUAUUACGAUUAAAGAUUUAUCGGACAGGGAUGGCCAUGCGUACCAUUAGUUAGUUGGUGAGGUAACGGCUUACCAAGGCAGCGAUGGUUAGGGGCCCUGAGAGGGGGAUCCCCCACACUGGUACUGAGACACGGACCAGACUCCUACGGGAGGCAGCAGUGAGGAAUAUUGGACAAUGGGCGGGAGCCUGAUCCAGCCAUGCCGCGUGCAGGAUGACGGCCCUAUGGGUUGUAAACUGCUUUUAUACGGGAAGAAACGCACCUACGUGUAGGUGUCUGACGGUACCGUAAGAAUAAGGACCGGCUAACUCCGUGCCAGCAGCCGCGGUAAUACGGAGGGUCCGAGCGUUAUCCGGAAUCAUUGGGUUUAAAGGGUCCGUAGGCGGGCCUGUAAGUCAGGGGUGAAAGUUUGUGGCUCAACCAUAAAAUUGCCUUUGAUACUGCAGGUCUUGAGUCAUGGUGGGGUUGCCGGAACAUGUGGUGUAGCGGUGAAAUGCAUAGAUAUCACAUAGAACACCGAUCGCGAAGGCAGGUGACCAACCAUGUACUGACGCUGAUGGACGAAAGCGUGGGUAGCGAACGGGAUUAGAUACCCCGGUAGUCCACGCCGUAAACGAUGGAUACUAGCUGUGGGGACUU